rnacentral:rRNA from 1 species
CGCGCUUAAUACAUGCAAAGUCGAACGAGAAGCCAGAGCUUGCUCUGGUGGAAAGUGGCGAACGGGUGAGUAACACGUGAGAAACCUGCCCCAAAGAUUGGGAUAAGCCUUGGAAACGAGGUCUAAUACCAAAUACCUUCCUUUAACACAUGUUAAAAGAGAAAUGCUCCGGCGCUUUGGGAUGGUCUCGCGAUCUAUCAGCUUGUUGGUGAGGUAACGGCUCACCAAGGCAUCGACGGAUAGCUGGUCUGAGAGGAUGUCCAGCCACAUUGGAACUGAGACACGGUCCAAACUCCUACGGGAGGCAGCAGUAGGGAAUCUUGCACAAUGAGGGAAACCUUGAUGCAGCGACGCCGCGUGCGGGACGAAGGCCCUAGGGUUGUAAACCGCUUUCAGUAGGGACGAAAGUGACGGUACCUACAGAAGAAGCCCCGGCCAACUAUGUG